rnacentral:rRNA from 1 species
CCUACGGGAGGCAGCAGUGGGGAAUUUUGGACAAUGGGCGCAAGCCUGAUCCAGCAAUGCCGCGUGAGUGAAGAAGGCCUUCGGGUUGUAAAGCUCUUUUGUCAGGGAAGAAACGGUGAUUUCUAAUACAGAUUGCUAAUGACGGUACCUGAAGAAUAAGCACCGGCUAACUACGUGCCAGCAGCCGCGGUAAUACGUAGGGUGCAAGCGUUAAUCGGAAUUACUGGGCGUAAAGCGUGCGCAGGCGGUUUUGUAAGUUUGUCGUGAAAUCCCCGGGCUCAACCUGGGAAUGGCGAUGAAGACUGCAAGGCUAGAAUCUGGCAGAGGGGGGUUAGAAUUCCACGUGUAGCAGUGAAAUGCGUAGAGAUGUGGAGGAACACCGAUGGCGAAGGCAGCCCCCUGGGUCAAGAUUGACGCUCAUGCACGAAAGCGUGGGGAGCAAACAGGAUUAGAUACCCUGGUAGUCCACGCCCUAAACGAUGUCUACUAGUUGUCGGGUUUUAAUUAACUUGGUAACGCAGCUAACGCGUGAAGUAGACCGCCUGGGGGAGGUACGGUCGCGAGAAGUAAACGUAACGAAGAAGUAGAGGCGUGAGAGUGCGACGGACGACGACGACGGGAGGAGG